UCCUGGCGCAGUGGUAAUGCGUCCGACUGUAAACGUGAUGGGUAUGCGUUCGAUUCUCAUUCAGGAG
rnacentral:tRNA from 1 species